UACGUAGGGUCCGAGCGUUGUCCGGAAUUAUUGGGCGUAAAGGGCUCGUAGGCGGUUUGUUGCGUCGGGAGUGAAAACUUACAGCUUAACUGUGAGCGUGCUUCCGAUACGGGCAGACUUGAGGUAUUCAGGGGAGAACGGAAUUCCUGGUGUAGCGGUGAAAUGCGCAGAUAUCAGGAGGAACACCGGUGGCCAAGGCGGUUCUCUGGGAAUAUCCUGACGCUGAGGAGCGAAAGUGUGGGGAGCGAACAGG
rnacentral:rRNA from 1 species